UGUUAAAAAAAAGGUGGAAUUAGGCCGUGUUCAAACCAAACUGACUGUAAGCGGCCGAAUGUGAGCAGGCUCACUGUGAGCCCCAGUGUGAACGUGAUAAUAAACGGUACCGAAUGUCCGCGCCUACGCCUAGCGUAGUAACGUAUUGUCGGUUAGAUGCGAACAAAAA